CAAAAAUUCCUAACUCCAAAUAAAACUUUGAGAUAUGAUUGAACCUGGCCAUAGCUCAAAUGUCUUUUGGCCUGGAAGGUGACUUUCAACUGGAAAAUAUCUCCAGAGUGAAUGCGGGCGCACUGGUGGAAGACCUGCCAUGUAAGUACAGUGAGACCUGAGAAUAGCCUCCAGUUGGCCAAACCCUUGUGUAUCUAGUAUCCCUAACAAUCCUGUGCCAUUUUAUAUAAGCAGGCCAGAAGCAAUGCGUCCUUUGAGAUGUAAAGGACUAGACCGUACUCUACCAGAAUACAAGUGGAUGGUGUGGCUAAUGUUUUCAAACCUGUGUCUAAACUUUGAUGCCUAAACAGGGACAUGGGUACCUAAAUAAGUGGCCUAAUUUUCAAAGAUGCUGUGAACCCUUCGCUCCCCUGGAGAUCACGGAGCGCUGUGGGUGCUCCGCUCUGGAAAAUCUGGCUGCUUAUUUGGAUGCCUCAUUAUGGAACAGGGUCCUUAACUUCAGGCAGUUGAGUUUUGCAAUCGUUGGCCUGUGAUUCUGUGCAGUCUUGAUUAGGCCCUGGUCAUGUGCAUUGUUACAAAGGUACAGAAUUAACCAGGUCAGUUAUUCAAAUGUCUCAAUAGCAUUGUUGUGAUUAGACCGUUCUAACCUGUUUUAUUAGACCUAGCUGAAUAUUCUGAAGAUGACACCAGUGAUUGCACAAAGAACUCUCUCAUUUAGUCUGGAAAAGUCAUGUACAUCAAGCUGGGAGCUUGCUUAACUGGUUGAGCUUCUGAUCACAUGCCAGCAUGUGUGCACUGAUGAAACCAACUUAUGCCCAGACCAUACUUAAGAUUUAUUCUUAGCAAAUGCUAUUUAAAUUGCAUUAAAUGUAUGUAUUUAGCUGUAAAUGUCUGCUGUAAAUAUCCAAGUGUGGCUGCUGGUGUACUCCUAAAGAAAGUGGUUUCAUCAAAGAUUUCCUUCUGUUAUGCAAGAGCUGACUGACAAAAUCCAUGGAGCUACGGCUGAACUACUAAUUGUAAAAAUGCACAGUAAGAGUGAAGCACUUAUCCCUUCGCUUUGAGUGUGUUUUGGGUUUAAGCCUUAUAUACUCUUCAACAACUUCCCCCCCACACACACACACAGUUUUUUAUAGUGAAUUAUUUAUUCUGGUGCUUUUUGACAUCCAUCAAUACUGUUGCCAGUAGAACAGCACCAGUUCUGAAAAGGCUAUUUGAAGUAGUUGAAUUACCUGAAUAAUACCAAUGUGGAACUUACUAGAUCUCCCAUUUUUGCUCUGUCAAGGGCAGUGUGUAUGGAGGGGAUGGGGUGGAGAUUAAGACAAUUUUUGGAUUCUUUGGUAACGGGAUUUUUUCCGUACAGAAAGGGGCAGCAGUAACAUUGCGGUAGCCAGAAAAUGCUCACUGACACUUCACAACCAUGUGACUGAACUCCAUGCAGCCAGCGCGUGGAAACAUGGUAUUUAGCUCAGCUGUCCGACGGACGACAAGGGAAAUACUUUUAGUUCAGCCCUUCUGAAUUCUCCUAAAAGGACACUGCCAUGGUACUUCAUAUUCUGCCGCCUCUUAACAACAAUACUGUUACAGCUGUGUUUCUCUCCACACAAACUUGCUGCUUGUUGCAACUGCUGGGCUUUAACGAGGUUCUCUUCUCUCUUUAAUAAUCUACAAGUCCUUUACAGAGGUAAAUAUGCAACUGUAUGGAUUUUGAACUUGGUUGCUCGUGUGUUUCUUUCCUCCCCAAAAUAAGCCCCCAAGAAGGGCAAAAUGCUCCAUGAAGUCUAUCAGUACAGUCCUGUACCUGUUCAGAACUCUGAAACUUCAGUAGAAAACCAUAAGUGAUGGAAAACAUUGUAGCAUCUUGGUCCUUGAGGUUGCUUCUCUUCCCAGCUGUGUCCUGGCUGACAAAAGCUAUCACUGCCAGAAGAGGGAGGAGGAGGUCUCACUAGUUGAAAUCCCGGAACAAAAAAGUUGGGAAUUAUCUUAGAUCAUUUUCCAACUUAGAUGGAAGUAAAGUGUGAUUGAUUGAUUUUUAAUAACUGGCCACCCAUAUAUUUGGGAACAGAGGAAGAGGUAGAUAGAAAGGCCUGGUGAAGUACACAACGGAGGAUCAAUUUGGGCCCUGUUUUGCAGCGGUCUCCAUACUGUUGGACCCAUGUGCCCCUCCUCAGCUCAUUGCAGGACCAAGUGUAAAUUACACUCCCCAUGGCCCCCUUGCUUGGGUGAAAUGGCCCAAGAGUGAGAUCCUUUAUAACACUCUGGCAUUCAUCAAUGUUAAAUUUCCUGAGCGAAUAAGUCUAUCAGGUUUCCAUCAGUUACUACUAUGUCUAUAUAUAGUUUCCCUUUCUAAAAAUAAAAGCUCAUGGUACUUGAGCAGUGUUCUAUUCCAUGACCCCUGGCUUCAUAUGAAAAGGUACAUAGGAAAAACGGCCAGAGGCGUAGGGAGCCAUGCAUGUAGGCACUAGGGACAAGUCAUUCUUGUGUGUAACUCCUCGUGCAAAUGGCUCACUAAGAAAUAAAAGCAGUUGAAAUUACAAUAUUUCUUAAUUUUUAGAUUAGGUGGGAAGUCAUUUUCACUGCAAUUUCCUACCAUCACUUUAUGCUAAAUGUGGAGCCUUGCACAGAAUUUUUACUCACUAAAAAUAUUUCUUGCUGUCAUCUCUGGCUAGGAGAUCAAAUAAACAAAGCCUGUGACUGAGAGAUAAUGAAGCUUCAGUAUUUCUGGUUUUGUUUAUCUGAUCUUCUAGAAGAAAGGUACUCGCGGCAUUGCUAUGAGCAACAACUAUAUGAAAUGCAUCAAAUAAUUAUGAAAAUAUUUGUUUCUGAAUGUAAAGUUAGCACGACAUUUGCUUUAGAGUCGCAUCUAUGUGUAUGUAUGUUAAUAUUUCUCUAGCAUCUUUAGCCAAGGAUCUCAAAGUGUUUUCAGACUUAGGAACUGAUCUUAUCAGCUUGUCCACGCAGGCAUGAGCAAAAUUCCCGCCUGUGCAGAGCAGACCUCAGGACUGGAGCUCCAGCGCCUUAGGCAGUCUCACAAUGCCCCUGGGAGACAGGUCAAGUACCUCAGUGGUUAGAGAGAGGCACAGAUUCGGUCGCUUGCCAAAGGUCAGACAAGGAGACAGUGGUGGAACUGAAGAGAGCGCUUGAGAGGCCUGCUCCCGGUGCUGCGCUUUAACCAAAUGGCUCUGGAGAUAUAAUCACCCUAAGGCCGUGGGAGGCUCUCAAGGGCUGGAACGUUGGGCCAUGCCUGCAUUUCUAAGCUCUGACCAAAAGGUGCAACUAUCUGAUGACUAGUGCGUAAUCCUGUAUGUAACUAGUGAGUGGUCUGACUACAGGCCCUAACAGACAGGGUAUCACAAAUAGCCUCACCAUCCUAAUGGGCAGAGAUGUCACUUCCCCCUCAUCUCUCCAGCACACAGAGCAGACUGGGGCACGCGAGGAAGCUUGUUCUGCUGGUCUCACUAGUGAAUGUAUUUCAGGGCCUAAACAGAAGGCUUCAGGUUCCACUCCCCUGCAUGUGGCACUUUUCCAAAGCAAUCCGUAGAUCUUAUUUUUUAAAGAUGAUGUGGCCAGGAGUUUUAAAAAUAGAGCUUGGGACUUUUUAUUCUGCGGUGUCUGAAAAAGGCUUGAUAGGGUUUUGUUUAGGGCCGGACUUUGUUUUGUUUUUACUUUCAGGCGAUGUCUGAUCUAUGCGCUGGGGGUACGAUCCACUGCUCAUGUACGCAUGUGCUAGCUCUCCUUGAACUAGCGUGAGUAUAAAUAAUAGUGAAGCCGCGGCAGUGCGGGUAGCAGCAGGGGAACCAUGGCACAUACCCGUACAGCUCAGCCUCCCACAGCUACGCUGCUUUUAUACGUGUGCUGGCUCCAUGAGAGCUGGCGUCAGUGUGAGUACAUGAGCAAGGGCAUCACACCCCUAUCUCCGAAUGUAGAUGUAGCCUUAGAAAUAUCGUGACUCUCAAAGCUGCUCUUCCCUGGUUUUGCUGGAGGACCUCUUGGGGAGGGGUGUGGGUGUGAGAGUGAGUGAGUGCAUCUGUACAGUGAGUUCUUGCACUCGAGAUGGGUGCGGCUGCUCAAUCGGUGACAGAUAUUUCCUCCAGAAUGUGUGUUAGUCAUUGAAGUAAAGCAGGCAUGAACAAAAACUAGCAAACCAGAGUGUUAAGCAAUCUGACUAACAAUCCCUUGCCCUCUCAGCUGUUGUGAUGUGCUCAUUUCACUGUCAUUCAUGACAUUCAGGACCGAUGAAACCUGAAUUUCUAACACACAAAAACCCAUUGGGCAUGGGGGGAGACAACUGCCUGUCUUUAGCCCCCAGAAAGAAGCGUAAGUAAUGGAUGUAAGCCCAAUUUCCCACCCUUCUUGCAGCUCCCCUUUCGAGCAGGCUGUCUCUUGACAGUAAAUGUAAAUGCUGGGUGUGUCCUGCUAGCAUUUGCCCAGCAGGGGGAGAUGUACUAGAAGAGAGCAAAGCACAGCAAGGGCGAAAUAACACACGUUGCUGCUAAAUGCUAGCAGAGAAAAGAGAUCGCUGGGGCCAAAGAGGAGGACAGGCAAUGAAUGGAACAAAGGUGAGCGGUGAGGUGAGGAAGUGAUGUGCAGUUAGUCUGGGGAAUAAUCCAAAAUGCAGGAGGACAGAGCAGUUUCUCUUUCUGGUUGGACUAGAAUAGAGGACACACGGCCCUAGACUGUAUAAAUGUCUAAUGAUCUGAAUUAAAUGUUAAAUUUAACUUCUCUUGCCUAGCUCAUAACAAAUGCAUCCCUUUAUAUGUGUGUUUCUCUCUGGACACAGGCUGAAAAACUCGCAGUGCUAUGAAGAUGGUUCUAUUAGAUAUUUUAAAACAAAGCCCUUAAAAAUUCAGUCCUUAAACUAGCCCAGGUGAAACAAAGGAUUGAAUGAAGUGUCUGGGGAAGUAGUCUUGUAACAGUGUCACUUAAUACAAGGUACUUAAACUAACAGGACAAUAUAAGGGAUUGGAUGCUGAUUAAGCUGCAUAAGGAAAAUGGAAAUAUAGUAAAUGAUACUGGCUCACGAAAGCUUAUGCUCAAAUAAAUGUGUUAGUCUCUAAGGUGCCACAAGUACUCCUGUUCUUUUUGCGGAUACAGACUAACACGGCUGUUACUCUAGAUACUAGCAUGGUUACAGAGCUAACUGCCCCCUCAGCCCGGCUCCCCACAUGCACUUGUCACCCAGUAUUUCUCAUCAGUUGAGGCAGCCAUGAGGGGCUUGUCCCCCUGCAGAACAGGCCUUAGCCAAGCAAUGCCUUUUGUAAAUGAGGGGUCCCCAGGAGCACCGCCAGCUUUUCUGCCACCCUAGGCGGCGGAAGGUCCCGCCGCCAAAAUACCACCGCAGUCACCACCCCCCAAAUUGUAGCACCCUAGGCGACCGCCUAGGUCGCCUAAUGGAUUGUGGGGGACCCCCCGGGCCGGCACAAUCCAUUGUUGCUAAGUGUGAACCCUCAAACCUUCCCCUGAGCUGAGUUCCAUUCUCUGCCCGUCCCCUGAGUGGGGUGAGGGUCCCCUCUGGCAACACCCCAGUGACGCCUGGCAGUGGACUAGCCCUUUGACCGCCUAGGUUUUCACCCCGUGUGGAGGCUGUGGGGCCCCUUUGUUCUGUAUCUGCUGAGUAGAGGUGAGCCGUUCUUCCUCCCCAUCUGACUCAGGGACAUUUCUAUUGGGGAUCUGGCUGUAUUUUACUCUCGGGGUGGAGCCGGAUAGGUGCACAGAUAGCUGGAGUGUGAAUUCAGUCGCAUGUACAUUUUACCUCCCCUUUGGGGCUAUAGCCUCCUGAUUAGCCUGCUGCAUUGGAGGGCCAGCAUCCCAGCCCUCCUCUGGCCUGAAUAUCAAUAUGCUCACCUGUCAUGGCUCCAUGCCAGUGGCUGAGCCUAUUGGUGUCCUGACCCCUGGCAGCUAGAACACCUCAGAUCUCUGGUCUAUUUGCUCCCACCUCAGUCCAGUGCUCGUCCUUGGUUCCUUUCCUGAUGGUCAGAAUACACUGGAUUAACUGAUGUGGUCAGCUCUUGAGAGUUUAGCUGCCUGUCUGCAUAACUCCACCUGCUGACUUUUCUUGAGGUGCUUGUAACUCAUCCUUCAUGUCCAUCUUUUCCCUCUUCUCUUCCUGGAAAAGAAUAUAGGGCUGGUUUUCUUUUCUUUUUUUUCUUUUUCUUCUGCAGUAUUUGCUUUCGCUGCUCUUGGCACUUCACCACUGUCCCCAUCUCACUGCUGCCCCUGUAUAUGUCCCAUUUACUGCCACUAACUACACCUCCGACUGCUUCUGGUCCCUUGAAACAGCCUCCCACCCGCCAGGUCUUGGGCCUUUAGCCAUCUGGAAUCAUGCAAUUCUCUCACACUCAGAAUGGCCCCUGGGUUGCAGUAUAUCAACAGUGAUUAUCUCAGCAGGUCUGACUUCAGUUCAGACCCUGCAGUUUUGUUCCCUCUAGAGCUAUGAUGAUAGUAUCCAGAAACCAAACAGCCCCCUUAGAGCAAAGUAUUUAGAACAAAAGCAUUUCAGAGAAAAGACCUUAAAACAAUGAAGCAGGCUAUAUGCAUGACUGCCUUUCCCUAAGGCUUCGCCUUUCCUGGAUCUAGGACCCAAUGCUUUCCAGUGCCUCCAGAGUCUCUCCUCUGUCAGCUGGUCUCUCCCUGGGCAGCUCCGGACAAUUGACCUCGUUUGUCCUGGGGAAGGUUUUUUAACUGUUUCCUGUUCUUUUGAUCUCCAGUCCCCCAGCCUGGCAAAACAGCUGUGUCACUUUGGCCUGGAGUCUGGAAUUAGGCCAUUGUCGUUCAUGUGUGUGCUGGGGUGUUCUCAUCUGGGGAGCCGUUUCCUUGCCUUCCUGUUUGUUCUUCCCAGAGCAUCUAUUAAGCGAGAUCAGUGCAUUUAUACAGGCAAGUCUUACUACCCGCUAUACAAUAACUUCACUGACCAGGUCACGUGCAGUGUUCAUCAAAUUAUUACAUCUCCGUAUGCUUAGGUGAUUACGUGGCAGCUCCUCAUCCAUCUCAUAUACCCACCUUUGCUUAUGGGAUCAGAGUCAGUUAACACUUCCUUGCCGCUCUAAUUAUAAACUGUUCAAUUACAAAGUAAACAACACUGAAGUGGUAUUCAUCAUUGUACCUACUGGACAGCACAUGCCUGCAUAGUUACAUACAAUACAUACAGUAAACAAGCUUAGUUCUGGCUUUGGUGAAAGGCUUACCAAAGAAGAGUGCGUAAGAUGCUAUCAAUAGCCAUUUUAGAAAUUUCAUUAUAAAGGGUUGGUGUAUUAUAGAUACUUGUAUAUUGGUGAACAAGCAGAUAUUACUCAAAGUAGGUUUGCAUUAUUACUACCAUAAUGACUCUUAACGCUGGAUGUGCAUGAUGCGCUAAAUCUUCCAGUGCUUCAUUGGGAGUUUUGACUGUAAAUGAACUGCAGGAUUUGGGGACAUAAGUCAUGCCUAGGGCACGGCCUAGGAAAUAGCCAGGAACAAAAUGGUAAAAUGUGUCACAUGAUGUGGCACUUGCAUCUGAGAUCAAAAGGAUUUCACAGCUUCUCAUGUGGAAAAUGAUCCUCCGGGUAGUUUCUCACGAAAAAGGAUGUUGUUUUAAUCCUCCUUCAUUUUAAUGUCUGCUUAAGGAGUGAUUUAUCCAUGGCAGGGUUUACCUAAAGCUUCCAUUGUUAAUACUAAAGCUUUCCCUUCAUUAUAACUGCUAAUAAAUAUUUGAUGGUGAAAUUCACAAAUUAGGUGACUGGGGCACAAUAGAUUACUUAGUUAUUUCUCACCCCUGGGGGCAGAAAUGUCAGAUUGAUGGAACCUGUCCUGAACAGAUGGUUGCUUGUCUCAGCUCAAUUUGUGAGGGAGGCAAUAUAACCCACCACCCAGUAUUAUCAGGCUUUCCAGCCAUUCAGCUGAUGUUGUUUGCAUUUUAUUUUUCUUUUCUCAAAGGAGCUGGAGGACCAGGAUUUCAUGAUUUAACAUGCAAGACCUGCUGCCCUGAGCCCUGCACAUGCAGUGGUUGGGCUGUUGGUGUUGCCAGUCAGGUCCUGAAUCACAAAGAAGGAAGAAGAUUGUGGCAACACCCAAAAAAAUUUCCAAAUGCACAGGGAAAUAUAGCCCCUGCCCUGUAUCUCUGGCGUGGGACUGGAAAAACAAGAACAAAGGCAAAAAUAGGAUGCUAACAAAUACCUUUCAUGGAACUCAUUAUGGAAAACCAAACUGGUUUCUAAGUACUGUUGCACCAUUAUACUCCUGAAAAACAACGUGAUGUAACUCUGCAACUAUAAGAAAGACAUGAACUGACUGUAUGCAAGGUAUUUUUAUUUAAUACUGUCCAAUUUUAAUAACAAAAUUAAACCCCA